rnacentral:rRNA from 1 species
UACAGAGGUCCCGAGCGUUGUUCGGAUUCAUUGGGCGUAAAGGGUGCGUAGGUGGCGCUGUAAGUGGGGUGUGAAAUCCCUAGGCUUAACCUAGGAACUGCGUCGGAUACUGGAUGGCUUGAAUCCGGGAGAGGGAUGCGGAAUUCCAGGUGUAGCGGUGAAAUGCGUAGAUAUCGAGAGGAACACCUGCGGCGAAGGCGGGUUGCUGGGCUGACACUGACGCUGAAGCGCGAAAGCUAGGGGAGCGAACGGG